UACGUAGGGGCGAGCGUUGUCCGGAAUUAUUGGGCGUAAAGGGUUCGUAGGCGGUAAUACAUGUCAGAUGUGAAAUCUUGUGGCUUAACCACAUCAAGCAUCUGAAACUGUAUAACUUGAGUGGAGGAGAGGUAAGUGGAAUUCCUAGUGUAGCGGUGAAAUGCGUAGAUAUUAGGAAGAAUACCAGUAGCGAAGGCGACUUACUGGCCUCUAACUGACGCUGAUGAACGAAAGUGUGGGGAUCAAACAGGAUUAGAUACCCUGGUA
rnacentral:rRNA from 1 species